rnacentral:rRNA from 1 species
UCCUACGGGAGGCAGCAGUGAGGAAUAUUGGUCAAUGGGCGAGAGCCUGAACCAGCCAAGUCGCGUGAGGGAAGACGGUCCUAUGGAUUGUAAACCUCUUUUGUCGGGGAGCAAAAAGGCCUCGUGAGGCCACAAGUGAGAGUACCCGAAGAAAAAGCAUCGGCUAACUACGUGCCAGCAGCCGCGGUCAUACGUAGGAUCCGAGCAUUAUCCGGAGUGACUGGGGGUAAAGAGUUGCGUAGGUGGCAUAGUAAGUAGCUAGUGAAAUCUGGUGGCUCAACCAUUCAGACUAUUAGCUAAACUGC